AACGAACGCUGGCGGCAUGCCUUACACAUGCAAGUCGAACGGCAGCACGGGUGCUUGCACCUGGUGGCGAGUGGCGAACGGGUGAGUAAUACAUCGGAACGUACCUUAUCGUGGGGGAUAACGCAGCGAAAGCUGUGCUAAUACCGCAUACGCCCUGAGGGGGAAAGCGGGGGAUCGAAAGACCUCGCGCGAUUAGAGCGGCCGAUGCCUGAUUAGCUUGUUGGUGGGGUAAAAGCCCACCAAGGCGACGAUCAGUAGCUGGUCUGAGAGGACGAUCAGCCACACUGGGACUGAGACACGGCCCAGACUCCUACGGGAGGCAGCAGUGGGGAAUUUUGGACAAUGGGGGCAACCCUGAUCCAGCAAUGCCGCGUGAGUGAAGAAGGCCUUCGGGUUGUAAAGCUCUUUUGUCAGGGAAGAAACACCGGCUCUAACACAGUCCGGGAAUGACGGUACCUGAAGAAUAAGCACCGGCUAACUACGUGCCAGCAGCCGCGGUAAGAC
rnacentral:rRNA from 1 species